rnacentral:tRNA from 1 species
GCCUGGCUGGCUCAGUUGGUAGAGCAUGUGACUUGACCUCAGGGUUGUGAGUUCAAGCCCCACAUUGGGCA